GAUGAACGCUGGCGGCGUGCCUAAUACAUGCAAGUCGAGCGAACGGACGAGAAGCUUGCUUCUCUGAUGUUAGCGGCGGACGGGUGAGUAACACGUGGAUAACCUACCUAUAAGACUGGGAUAACUUCGGGAAACCGGAGCUAAUACCGGAUAAUAUUUUGAACCGCAUGGUUCAAAAGUGAAAGACGGUCUUGCUGUCACUUAUAGGUGGAUCCGCGCUGCAUUAGCUAGUUGGUAAGGUAACGGCCUACCAAGGCAACGAUGCAUAGCCGACCUGAGAGGGUGAUCGGCCACACUGGAACUGAGACACGGUCCAGACUCCUACGGGAGGCAGCAGUAGGGAAUCUUCCGCAAUGGGCGAAAGCCUGACGGAGCAACGCCGCGUGAGUGAUGAAGGUCUUCGGAUCGUAAAACUCUGUUAUUAGGGAAGAACAUAUGUGUAAGUAACUGUGCACAUCUUGACGGUACCUAAUCAGAAAGCCACGGCUAACUACGUGCCAGCAGCCGCGGUAAUACGUAGGUGGCAAGCGUUAUCCGGAAUUAUUGGGCGUAAAGCGCGCGUAGGCGGUUUUUUAAGUCUGAUGUGAAAGCCCACGGCUCAACCGUGGAGGGUCAUUGGAAACUGGAAAACUUGAGUGCAGAAGAGGAAAGUGGAAUUCCAUGUGUAGCGGUGAAAUGCGCAGAGAUAUGGAGGAACACCAGUGGCGAGGGCGACUUUCUGGUCUGUAACUGUCGCUGAUGUGCGAAAGCGUGGGGAUCAAACAGG
rnacentral:rRNA from 1 species